AUUGAACGCUGGCGGCAGGCCUAACACAUGCAAGUCGGGCGGAGGGGCGGACGGGUGAGUAAUGUAUGGGAAUCGGCCUGUUGGUGGGGGAUAACGUCGGGAAACGGGAGCUAAUACCGCAUACUAUCGGAUGAGCCAAGGUCGGCUUAGCUAGUUGGUGGGGUAAGGGCUUACCAAGGCGACGAUCCGUAACUGGUCUGAGAGGAUGACCAGUCACACUGGAACUGAGACACGGUCCAGAUUCCUACGUGAGGCAGCAGUGGGGAAUAUUGGACAAUGGGCGAAAGCCUGAUCCAGCCAUGCCGCGUGUGUGAAGAAGGCCUUCGGAUUGUAAAGCACUUUAAGUUGGGAGGCGUUACCAACAGAAUAAGCACCGGCUAACUCCGUGCCAGCAGCCGCGGUAAUUC
rnacentral:rRNA from 1 species